rnacentral:tRNA from 5 species
GGGACCGUAGGGUAGCUUGGUCCAUCCUCCCAGCCAUUGACGCUGGAGACCCGAGUUCAAAUCUCGGCGGUCCCA